GUAAAUAUUGCCACCUAGUUGAAAACCAAACAUUGUUUAGUAACUUGGAUGAAUCCUACAAACGUAAUAUGUACAAAGAGCUCAGGUGUUUGGCUAAGCUGAAUCGUUUACUUAUGACUUUAUUAACGUCUAUCUUAUUACUAGCAUGAAUCUGAACACUUUGGUUGCUAGAAAUAUUCGAUUUUAAUUUUAAAUAAAGAUACUGUGUUAAAUGGA